rnacentral:rRNA from 1 species
UGGGGAAUCUUGCGCAAUGGGGGAAACCCUGACGCAGCAACGCCGCGUGGGUGAUGAAGGCCUUCGGGUCGUAAAGCCCUGUCAGGUGGAAAGAAUCGUGUCGGUACGAACAAUACCGACGCUUGACGGUACCACCGGAGGAAGCACCGGCUAACUCCGUGCCAGCAGCCGCGGUAAUACGGAGGGUGCAAGCGUUGUUCGGAAUUACUGGGCGUAAAGCGCGUGCAGGCGGUUAGGCAAGUCAGAUGUGAAAGCCUUUCGCUUAACGGAAGAAUUGCAUUUGAAACUACCUGGCUGGAGUUCGGGAGAGGAGAGUGGAAUUCCCGGUGUAGAGGUGAAAUUCGUAGAUAUCGGGAGGAACACCGGUGGCGAAGGCGGCUCUCUGGCCCGAUACUGACGCUGAGACGCGAAAGCGUGGGGAGCAAACAGG